UGAGCAGGCUAUGCGAUAGCGGGGGAGGCAACUCCCGUGAGGAAAGUCCGGGCAUCACAGAGCAGGGUAGCUGCUAACGGCAGCCGGGGGCGACCCUAGGGCUAGUGCAACAGAGAGAUACUGCCGCAGCAAUGCGGUGAUGGUGGAAAGGCGGGGUAAGAGCCCACCAGAGUGCGUGAGAGCGUACUGCUAUGUAAACCCUACCCGAUGCAACGUCUAUUGGUACCGUCUUUCAACAUCUGCUCGGUGGAAAGGCGUGUAAUGGCGGCUUGAGCGUUCCGGCGACGGAUCGCCUAGAUAAAUUAUCGCACACGACAGAACUCGGCUUAUCGGCCUGGUCAUGGC
rfam:Ruminococcus sp. 18P13 draft genome.